rnacentral:rRNA from 1 species
AGUGAACGCUGGCGGUAGGCCUAACACAUGCAAGUCGAACGGCAGCACAGUAAGAGCUUGCUCUUACGGGUGGCGAGUGGCGGACGGGUGAGGAAUACAUCGGAAUCUACUUUUUCGUGGGGGAUAACGUAGGGAAACUUACGCUAAUACCGCAUACGACCUACGGGUGAAAGCAGUGGAUCUUCGGACCUUGCGCGAUUGAAUGAGCCGAUGUCGGAUUAGCUAGUUGGCUGGGUAAAGGCCCACCAAGGCGACGAUCCGUAGCUGGUCUGAGAGGAUGAUCGGCCACACUGGAACUGAGAACCGGUCCAGCCUCCUACGGGAGGCAGCAGUGGGGAAUAUUGGACAAUGGGCGCAAGCCUGAGCCGGCCAUACCGCGUGGGUGAAGAAGGCCUUCGGGUUGUAAAGUCCUUUUGUUGGGAAAGAAAAGCAGCAGGUUAAUACCCCGCUGUUCUGGCGGUACCAAAAGAAUAAGCACCGGCUAACUGCGU